GUGUUGAGAGCAGACCAGUCAUUUCCAUAGAGGAGGCUUUGCAUCAUCAGCUGAUCCUCCAGUGAACUCACAAGGUUUAUAGUGGUGUGAGUUCAACACUGCAGGACUCACAUGUGUCAGUCAACACAGCAGGAAGCACAAGCAGCAUGACUCUCAUCACCAUCCUCAUCUGGACGCUGCUCUGCUGCUGCUUUACAGGAUGCAGUGGUCAGGUGACGGUGACUCAGCCUCCAGUGGAGACGUUCACUGCAGGAUCCACUGUGACGCUCACCUGUAAAACCAACCCAGCUGUUUAUAGGUGGAGUGAUGGUGAUGAGGGUAUGUUCUGGUACCAACAGAAACCUGGACAGAGCCCAAAGCUCCUGAUCUAUUUUGUAAAAAAGCUGCAUUCAGGGACACCAGGUCGGUUUAGUGGCAGUGGAAGCGGCUCUGACUUCACUUUGACCAUCAGAGGAGUUCAGGCUGAAGAUGCUGCAGUUUAUUACUGUCAGAGUCUUCAUAGUGGUGGAGUGUGGACGUUUGGUGGAGGAACCAAACUCAUCGUUGACUUGGGUGUGGUGCCGCCCACCCUGAGCGUCCUGCCUCCCUCCACACAGGAGCUGGAGCGGGGCAGUGCCACAGUGGUGUGUGUGUCCAGUGGGGGCUUCCCCUCCACCUGGAGUCUGGCCUGGAAGGUGGGGGGCAGCAGCUCCUCAGGGGGGUCGCACAGCCCAGAGGUCCUGGGGACGGACGGCCGCUACGGCAGGAGCAGCACCCUGAGCCUGUCUGCAGAGCAGUGGAGGAAGGCGGGCUCAGUGAGCUGUGAGGCCAGUCUGACUGGACAGAGCCCUGUCACUCAAAGCCUCAACCCUGACCUCUGCUCUGAAACAACAGCCACUCAGUGCUGAGGCCAAAUGUGCCUUUACACACAGGUCACACAUGAUCAGUGUGAUGUGAUCUAAGGUUAUUCAGCAGUUUGUGUGUCUUCACAGCUUUUACACAUUGUUACAGUCACAUGUUGGACUUUUGUGCUUCUGCAAAACAAAUAAAUAUUUGAUGCUCUCGUGUCGUA